rnacentral:tRNA from 1 species
UAUUAUAAAGUAUUUUACAUCUAAUUUCCAAUUAGAUAAAGAUUAUAUAUAU